rnacentral:rRNA from 1 species
AGUCGAGCGCGAAAUGGAGCAAUUCAUGAGUAGAGCGGCGAAAGGGUGAGUAAUGCGUUCCUACGUACCUCAAGGUCGGGGAUAGCCAGGGGAAACUCUGGGUAAUACCCGAUGUGAUCGAGAGAUCAAAGGCUUGCCGCCUUGAGAGCGGGGAACGUCCUAUCAGGUAGUUGGUGAGGUAAGAGCUCACCAAGCCAAUGACGGGUAGCGGGUGUGAGAGCAUGGCCCGCCACAUCGAAACUGAGACACUGUUCGGACUCCUACGGGAGGCUGCAGUAACGAAUCUUCCGCAAUGCGCGAAAGCGUGACGGAGCAAUGCCGCGUGCAGGAUGAAGCCCCUCGGGGUGUAAACUGCUGUCAGGGAUUAGGAACACAAUGACCAGUCCCAAAGGAAGAGACGACUAACUCUGUGCCAGCAGUCGCGGUAAUACAGAGGUCUCGAGCGUUAGUCGGAAUCACUGGGCUUAAAGCGUGCGUAGGCGGAUAUGCAGGCGUCGUGUGAAAGCCCUCGGCUCAACCGGGGAAUUGCACGGCGAAUCGCAUGUCUCGAGACAAGUAGAGGCGGUCGGAACGAUAGGUGGAGUGGUGAAAUGCGUUGAUAUCUAUCGGAACGCCAAAGGUGAAGACAGACCGCUGGGCUUGUUCUGACGCUGAGGCACGAAAGCGUGGGGAGCAAACGGGAUUAGAUACCCCGGUAGUCCACGCCCUAAACAAUGUGCACUAGAUCACGGAAGGUAUUGACGCCUUUCCCGGUCGAAGUAAAAACGUUGAGUGCACCGCCUGGGGGAGUACGGUCGCAAGGCUA